UACGUAGGUGACAAGCGUUGUCCGGAUUUACUGGGCGUAAAGAGCGCGCAGGCGGUCGAUCAAGUCGAGUGUGAAAGCCCCCGGCUCAACUGGGGAGGGUCAUUCGAUACUGAUCGACUCGAAGGCAGGAGAGGGUAGUGGAAUUCCCGGUGUAGUGGUGAAAUGCGUAGAUAUCGGGAGGAACACCAGUGGCGAAGGCGGCUCUCUGGGACGGUACUGACGCUGAGACGCGAAAGCGUGGGGAGCGAACAGG
rnacentral:rRNA from 1 species